UGGCCCGUAUGAGAUUCUGGGAGAAUAGGAGAGGUGGCUUAUAGAUUGGCAUUGCCGCCAGGCGUUGAUCGUGCGCAUAACGUGUUCCAUGUUUCUCAGUUGCGGCGAUACAUUAGUGACCCUUCGCAUGUGCUACAGCCAGAGCUCUCCAGUUAGAUGAUAACAUGACUUAUGAGGAGUUUCCAGUUCAGAUUCUAGAUCACAAAGUUCGUAAGACUCGCAAAGGUGAGACAAAGAUGUGAAGGUGUUGUGGUCAAACCACAACUCGGAGGAGUCUACUUGGGAAGCUGAGGAUGCGAUGCGUCUUAAGUAUCCCCAUCUCUUCACUCAGAUUGCGGGUUCGUAGAGGAACCUUUUUGACUUGAGAUUGAGGUACAUUGACUGUGUUUGCUACUAAGGGACUUGAAGAUAGUUAGCUCCAGUUGGGUUAAAGAGUGCGUUGGAUCCCUUUUUAUUUAAUAGGACUUUAAAAGACUUCCGCUGUUAUUUAUUUGACUAUAAAAUUUAUAUUCUGGUUUGUAAUAAUUAUUUUACAUUCUAUUCAGUUGGUCUGUAAUAAUUAGUUAAAACUUUUGGUUAUUGUUUUAAUUAGAACCAUUAGCCUUGCGGUUGUUAUUAAUAAUUAUCGCGGCGUAUCACCUUUG